CCUAACACAUGCAAGUCGAACGAGAAAGUGGAGCAAUCCAUGAGUACAGUGGCGUACGGGUGAGUAACACGUGACUAACCUACCCUCGAGUGGGGAAUAACUUCGGGAAACCGAGGCUAAUACCGCAUAACAUCUACGGAUCAAAUGCGCAAGCAGCUUGAGGAGGGGGUCGCGGCUGAUUAGCUAGUUGGCGGGGUAACGGCCACCAAGGCAAUGAUCAGUAGCCGGCCUGAGAGGGCGCACGGCCACACUGGAACUGAAACACGGUCCAGACUCCUACGGGAGGCAGCAGUGGGGAAUUUUGCGCAAUGGGGGAAACCCUGACGCAGCAACGCCGCGUGGAGGAUGAAGCCCCUUGGGGUGUAAACUCCUUUCGAUCGGGACGAUUAUGACGGUACCGGAUGAAGAAGCACCGGCUAACUCUGUGCCAGCAGCCGCGGUAAUACAGAGGGUGCAAGCGUUGUUCGGAAUUAUUGGGCGUAAAGGGUGCGUANGCGGUGCGGUAAGUCUUCUGUGAAACCUCCGGGCUUAACUCGGAGCCUGCAGGGGAAACUGCCGUGCUGGAGUAUGGGA
rnacentral:rRNA from 1 species